UAAAACUCUCUAAUAAAUGUUAAUGCAUCUUAACUAGGCAUAAUAUAAAAUGAAAGAAGCAUAUCAAAAUAUAUAUUCUUAAGUUCAUAAGUCCUAGAUGCAUCACUUAGAACUAUGCAUGAAGUAACGUUACCAAUUAUAGGUCGAGCAUAAUCCUUCAUGGCCAUUUAUCUUUCAACUACUACUUGUCUUUGUUUGUUUGUCAUAUUUUAACCUCUUCUUCUG
rnacentral:lncRNA from 1 species